UAGUGGAUCUGCUCCUGUACUGAUAUGCCAAGGAUUUGGAGAAAGCAGCCCAGGAGUUCCAGCCACGAUGGAGACAUAGGUAGAAAUGCUUCACCUCCUUGCACAACCAAAAGAAGGACAACGACAGAUUUAAGAACAAAAAAUAAGCAGAACUGCAGAUAUUCAAACUUCAUGGAAGCCUGCCAAUCAAGGAGUUAAA